UCCGUAGGUGAACCUGCGGAAGGAUCAUUAGUGAAUUUUAGCGCAUCUGCUUGCAGAGCGUGACCUCCACUCUAUACACUGUGCACUCAUUGGCAGGAGAACGAGAGAAAUCUCAAUUUUCUGCGGCUCACUUUUAAACACCAGUCAAAGUAUGUAUACGAAAUAUCGAAAAAAGAAAAACUUUCAACAACGGAUCUCUUGGCUCUCGCAUCGAUGAAGAACGCAGCGAAAUGUGAUAAGUAAUGUGAAUUGCAGAAUUCAGUGAAUCAUCGAAUCUUUGAACGCACCUUGCGGUCUCUGGUAUUCCGGAGACCAUGUCUGUUUGAGUGUCAUGAACUCUUCAACCCACCUAUUUCUUGUAGAUAGAUUGGUGUUUGGAUUUUGAAUGUUGCUGGUCGAAAGAUCUUAGCUCAUUCGUAAUAUAUUAGCAUCUCUAAUUCGUAAUUCGGAUUGACUCAGUGUAAUAGACUAUUUGCUGAGGACACUGGCAACAGUGGCCGAAUUUUGAUAACAGUAGAAGCUUCUAACUUUUGUAGUCAAUUUUAUUUUAGACCUCAGAUCAGGCAGGAUUACCCGCUGAACUUAAGCAUAUCAAUAAGCGGAGGA
rnacentral:rRNA from 1 species